UACAGAGGUCUCAAGCGUUGUUCGGAAUCACUGGGCGUAAAGCGUGCGUAGGCUGUUUCGUAAGUCGUGUGUGAAAGGCGCGGGCUCAACCCGCGGACGGCACAUGAUACUGCGAGACUAGAGUAAUGGAGGGGGAACCGGAAUUCUCGGUGUAGCAGUGAAAUGCGUAGAUAUCGAGAGGAACACUCGUGGCGAAGGCGGGUUCCUGGACAUUAACUGACGCUGAGGCACGAGAGCGUGGGGAUCGAACA
rnacentral:rRNA from 1 species